UACGUAAGGUCCGAGCGUUGUCCGGAAUCAUUGGGCGUAAAGGGUACGUAGGCGGAUAAGCAAGUUAGAAGUGAAAUCCUAUAGCUCAACUAUAGUAAGCUUUUAAAACUGCUCAUCUUGAGGUAUGGAAGGGAAAGUGGAAUUCCUAGUGUAGCGGUGAAAUGCGCAGAUAUUAGGAGGAAUACCGGUGGCGAAGGCGACUUUCUGGGCUCAUUCUGACGCUGAUGCACGAAGGUGUGGGUAUCAAACAGG
rnacentral:rRNA from 1 species